rnacentral:rRNA from 1 species
UACGGAGGAUGCAAGCGUUAUCCGGAUUUAUUGGGUUUAAAGGGUGCGCAGGUUGUUUGAUAAGUCAGUGGUGAAAGUCUGUCGCUUAACGGUAGGAUUGCCAUUGAUACUGUUGGACUUGAAUAUGGAUGAGGUAGGCGGAAUGUGUAGUGUAGCGGUGAAAUGCAUAGAUAUUACACAGAACACCGAUUGCGAAGGCAACUUACUAAUCCAUCAUUGACGCUGAGGCACGAAAGCGUGGGGAUCAAACAGGA